GACGGAGGAGCCAAGCGUUGUCCGGAUUGACUGGGCGUAAAGCGCACGCAGGCGGUCGCGCGCGUGGGGUGUGAAAUCUGGCCGCUUAACGGCCAGGCGCCAUCCCAUACGGCGCGACUGGAGUGAUGCAGAGGUCGAUGGAAUUGCCGGUGUAGUGGUGAAAUGCGUAGAGAUCGGCAGGAACACCCAGGGGGAAACCAGUCGACUGGGCAUCUACUGACGCUGAGGUGCGAGAGCGUGGGGAGCGAACCGG
rnacentral:rRNA from 1 species